AUAGAUGGUUCAAAGGCUAAGAACACGACGUCCUGUCGCAACGCCUUUGUGACCCACAUCGUGUGGG
rnacentral:sRNA from 1 species